UGUUACAUAAGAUGAUCGCAUUUCUUCAUUAAGACUGAGAAAUGUUUCUUCCCACUUUGAAAAUAUUCACUUAAACAAUUACUGAUUUUCUUUUCUGUCAUUACUUUUCUAUAUGUCCAUCAGAAGUAACUAAUCCCAUUUGUACACAUUCAUACGCCACCGACAAAGCAGUGUAAGCAACUUGGGGUUUAGUGUCUUGCCCAAGGACACAUCGGACAUGUAGCUGCAGGAGCUGGGGAUUGAAGUUGUAUUUCUUUAGACCCCAUUGUUAAAAUAGAA